CACACUUAUGCCCCUAACUUUUGAAGAAAAGCAAAAAAGAUUAGUAGGUAAAAGUUGUUUUUCUCUCCCACAAAUCAUCUUUGCUACUCACACACACAUAUACUUUGCAAGUGUUUCCAAAUCUCUGAAAACUUCACAUCUCUUGUCUCAAGCUCUAGGUAUGUACCUGCCUACCAUAGUGUGGUGUCAAAGGGAAGGUGUCUGAGCAAACUUAUUGAUCUUAACCUUUUCUUCUCCACCUAUGGCAGAAGCCACAAAUACCUUAUGUAAAGGGCUUGCAGCUGUGCCCUGUGAAGGAGCACUCCCUCCAGACUGGGCAUGCGUCCUGGCCUCUGUUUGGAAUGCUCUCUUUCUGCCUCAGUUUCCUUCCUGAUGUAUAUAUAUAGACUCAGCCUCUCUGCCCAAGUCUUCUAUGAUGACAGCUCACUAGGCAGGCAGCGUGGAUCUAUGUUCCAGUCUCCUCUUGCAGAUCAGAUACCACCUCUGAGAUCCUUCUCUGCUCCUCACUGACCAAACUCAAGGAACAGAUCUUCCCUGCCCAGGUCUCCAGGACCCCAACCUACCCACUUCUAGGAGAGAAUUCACACAGGGUGGUCCUGAAAGGAGGAGGUGCUUUGCUUCUCUUUUUCGCAGAUGUCAAUUAUGGAUCAACUUCUGAGUCACAUAGAAGAGCACCAUCAAUUGGCCAUUUCUCACCUGAUCACUGAGGAUAUAAAGUGCUUUUCCAGACUCCAGGACUCGGUUCAUUGCUAGUAUCAGGACGCCUCUCAUGUAUGGGAAGCCAGAAACAUCCCAGGAGCCUCACUGACUGCUUGGGCACAGCCCUCUGAGCAGACCUAUGAAGAAACAGAAGGAUUUGUGCCUUUUAGGUAUCUCUGGUCAAAACAGGUAUUUGAAGUUCUGAUUCUGCUAUUAUCUGGCACCUCCACUUGGCCCAUUGCUGGAAAUAUUAGGACUAGAAAACAUCAAGAUCAGGCACCGAACAGGCAAAUCUCCACUGAGUGGUUCUGAUGUGCAAAUAGCUGAUGAAGACUGGUUAUGGUUAUAAAAUGGAACACAGUUUUCUAAUUACAUAGUGUGUGGGUCUCGUGUGUGUGUGUGUGUGCAUGCAUGUGUGUGCAUGUGUGUGUUCGUGUGUGUGUGUGUGCAUGUAUAUCUAAGGUGCUUCACAUUUAGCUCUCAGCUCUCAGAAUGAGUCCACAUUCUGAGGUAAAUCUAUGGUGUUUGAUACCAACCAAUUUGAGAGAAACAUCUGGUGUCAUUUGCUUUUCUAGAUUCAUUUUUAUAUCUCCAAGACAGAGACACAACAAAGCUUUACUUAGGGCCAACUUAUUCUAAAGUUUUAUUGGUAUCUAGAAGUAGACACCCAUGUCUCUUCCACUUCCUUAUUUGAAUAAAAUUAAGUGGGUCUAGUCCUUACCUUAAUUCUCUCUUAAAAAUGCUCAAGAAAACCAAUUUCAAUAGCUGGGCCUAAAACAAUAUUACAAAACUUGGGUGCUAGGAUUAUAACAAGGAUUUUUCCAACCAGCAAGAAACAAAGCAAGACUUUCAAACAGUUUUAUUAUUUUUUAUCUUUUUAAAAAUUGUAUUGGGGUAAAAUACACGUAGCAUAAAAUUUACCAUCUUAACCAUUUUUAGGCCUACAGUUCAGUGGUACUAAGUACAUUCCUAUUGUUAUACGGCCACUACCACUAUCCAUCUCCAGAAUCUUUUCAUCUUCCCAAACUGAAAUUCUGCCUCCAUUAAACAAUAACUCCCCAGUCCCAUCUUUCCCCAGGCCCUGGAAACCACCAUUCUAUUUUCUGUCUUUAUAAAUUUCACUACUCUAGACAUUUCAUAUAAAGAGAAUCAUAUAAUAUGUGUUCUUUUGUGGCUGGCUUAUUUCGCAGAGCAUAAUGUCUUCAAGCUUCAUCCAUGUUGUAGCAUAUGUCAGAAUUACCUUUGUUUUGAGGGUGAAUAAUAUUUCAUCAUAUGUAGAUGCCACAUAUUGUUUACUCACUCAUCCCUCAAUGGACGCUUGGGUUGCAUCCACGUUUUGGCUACUGUGAAAAAUGCUGCUAUGAAUAUGGGUGUACAAACAUCUCUUUGAGACCCUGCUUUCAACUCUUUUGGGUAUAUACCCAAAAGGUUAAUUGGUGGAUCAUACAGUAUUUCUACCUUUAAUUUUUUGAGGACUCACCAUAGUGUUUUCCAUAGCAGUUACAUCAUUUUACAAUCCUACCAAUAAACGGUACACAAGGGUUCCAAUUUUUUCACAUCCUUGCCAACACUUGUUAUUUUAUGUUUUUAGGCUAGCCAUCCUAAUGGGCAUGAGGCCUUCCAAACAGUUUUAUGAUCGACUAAGUUAACCAAGUAAACCAGAUCAAUGACGGGCCAUAACAUCAAUGACCAAAAGAAAGGGGGAUGGAAGACACUCAGAAAGUUCCACCCCAGCCCUUACAACAUUGUUUGAAUGGAGAGUAGAAGGGGACAAGCUCCCAUUUCACAAGGUAAAGUUUAUAGAUUACCUAGAUGUCUUUCAUUGCCACUUGUUCUAGGUCACACACACAAAACCUAACUCAGCAGUCUCAAGUAUAUCAGGAGGAAAAUGAUGCAAGUCUCAGUGAGAGAGAGAGAAAUAGUGAGAGAAAGAGUGAAAAGGAGGAGGAGGAAAAGGAGAAAAGGAAGGAAGAGAGGGAAUAGGAAAGGAGAGGCAAGGAAAGCUUUCACGUAGCAAAUGAAACAGAAUGAAAAGACAAACUACAGAAUAGGAGAAAAUAUUUGCAAACCAUAUAUCUGAUAAGGGAUUACUGUAAUAUCCAAAGUGUAUAAGGAAUUUCUACAACUGAAUAGCAAAAAAUAAAAUAAAAUAAUAACAAAUAACCCUACUAAAAAUGGGCAAAAGACUUGAAUAGACAUUCUCCAAAGAAGACAUGCAAAUGGUCAACAGUUAUAUAAAAAGAUGCUUGACUGGGCGCAGUGGCUCAUGCCUGUAAUCCCAGCACUUUGGGAGGCCGAGGCGGGUGGAUCACCUGAGGUCAGGAGUUCGAGACCAGGCUGGCCAACAUGGUGAAACCCCAUCUCUACUAAAAAUACAAAAAUUAGCCGGGCGUGGUGGCAGACAUCUGUAGUCCCAUUUACUCAGGAGGCUGAAGCAAGAGAAUCACUAGAAUCUGCGAGGUGGAGGUUGCAGUGAGCCAAGAUCGUGCCACUGCACUCCAGCCUGGGCAACAAGAGCAAGACUCCAUCUCAAAAAACAAACAAGCAAACAAAAGAUGCUCAACAUCAUUAAUCAUGAGGGAUAUGGAAAUCAAAACCGCAAUGAGACAUCACCUCAUUAGAGUGUUAGGAUGUCUAUUAGAGAAAAGAAGAUAACACACGCUGGUGAGAAUGUAAAGAAACUGGAAUUCUUCUGCAUUGUUGGUAGGAGUGUAAAUGGUACAACCACUAGGGAAAGCAGAAAGAAGGGUCCUUAAAAAAUUGAAAAUAGAACUACCAUAUGUUUUAGCAAUCCCACUUCUGGGUAUAUACCCAAAAGAAUUGAAAGUAGGAUCUCAAAGAGAUAUUUGUACUCCCACGUUCCUUGCAGCAUUAUUCACAGUAGCCAAAAGGUGGAAGCAACACAGGUGUCCACUGAUAGAUGAAUGGAUAAAGAAAAUGUGGUAUAUAUAUAUAUAUUAUGGAAUAUUAUUCAGCCUUUAAAAAGAAUGAACUCCUGCAAUAUGCAACAACAUAGAUGAACCUAGAGAAACAUUAUGCUAAGUGAAAUACUGUAUAAUUUAACUUACACUUGAUAUUUAAAAGAACUGCUAUGGUCCGAUUAUUUGUUCCCUUCAAAACUCAUGUUGAAACUUAAUCCCCAAUACAGCAAUAUUGAGAGAUUGAUUCCUUAAGAGGUGACUGAGUCAUGAGGGCCCUGCCCUUAUGAAUGUAUUAAUUCAUUCACGUAUUAAUAGGUUAUCAUGGGGGUGGGACUGGUGGCUUUAUAAGAAGAGAGGCCUGAGCUAGCACACUCAGCCCCCUCACCAUGUAAUACCCUGCACUACCUCUGCAGAAGAGUCCUUGCCAGCAAGAAGGCCCUCACCAGAUGUAGCCCCUUGACCUUGGACUUCUUGGCCUGUGUAACUAUAAGAAAUACAUUCCUUUCCUUUAUGAAUUACCCAGUUUCAGGUAUUCUAAGUAACAGAAACUGAACUAAGACAACAGACAAGCUGACGAAAGCAGAGGGUAGAAUGUUGGUUGCCAGGGAUUGAAGGGAGGGGAAAAUGGGGAGUUGCUAUUCAACGGGUAUAAGGUUUCAGUGAUGCAAGAUGAGCAGGUUCUAGAGAGCUGCUGUACAACAUUGUGCCUUUAGUUAACAGUACUGUAUUGUAGACUUAAAACUUUGUUAGGAGGCUAGAUCUCAUGUUCAAUGUUCUCACUACAAGAAAAAAAAAGAAAGAAAAAGGAAAUGUAGUAUUUGUGAAGUUCUAUUGAAUAAAAGCGUGUGCAUAUGGAUGAACUUGGCUGACCUGACAAUAAAAGUCCUAACAUAGAACUUCUUUGAAGAUUGAACAUAUAAUAGGGUCCUAAUUCUCCAUAGUGAAUGGUCUUUUUCAAAAAGAAUACGUGAUCAAAAACUUUCCACAGGCAGAGAUGACUUAAAGCUACUUCACAAAUCUUACUUAUAUACUGUAUACAGUAUUACAUUAUAUACUGUAAUGAGUUGUGAGGGAUAUGUAUUACUUUAAAAUCUUGACUACACAGAUUAUUUAAAUGCUUACAAAUGAAAAGGCUCAUGAGAUAGAGCUUUAUAAUAUUUUUAGAUUAAAUAAAGUUUUUCUGAAGCUAGAGGUUUCAAAUUUGCAGCUACAUUUCUUGUGAGAAAACUAAAAUAGAAUACGUCCAAAACAGCUUGUCCAUAGAAUAGUUAAAAUAAUCCUUCCUGUUUUGCAGAAUUAAGAAUACAUUCAAUGAGUGGAAGGAAAAUGCUAAGUUUCUGAAGACAGACUAGCUAAAACUAAUAGUUAAUAUUUAUUGCUCAUUUAUUAUGCACAUUUGCUCUUUCCAAUAAUUCCUAAGGUGGUUCCUAUUAUUUUCUUCAUUUUAUAAAUCUGGACAAUCAAGUGAUAUUAAACAACUUGACUAAGGUCAUUGGAUUAGUAAAUGCAGAAGAUCACUAAGAACCAAAGCAGUCUGACCCCAGUGCCUAUUCUUACAACUAUUACAUUGCACUAUCUCUCUACAGAUUAAAAAGGAAAACAUCUCAUCUUCAAUUGCCUGAUGAAAUGACCAGUGAUUCCUCUGCUUUGGAGUAAACAAAGUAUAUUACAACAAAUCUCCUCCACUUUUUCCUUCCUUUGCAGGAUUUCUGAAACUUGUCUUCUUGUCAGCUGCUAGCAUAAGAGGAACCAGAAGCCUACUGCCCAUUUGAUUUUUUCCUUAGCAGGGAGAAACAGACUUAGCCCCAGUUUCUAAAAUCUACGGUCUCUUUCACACAGCGAGGAGGAUGCAGCACAUGCAGAGGCUUCAUAAAUCUGAUGAGUGCUGAAAAGAACCAUGCCCUCCAGCAAGGGGGAGCCAGGAAACAUUCUACAGGAAAGUCUGGAGUUUUGACACCUGUUGAGAGACACACCACCCACUAAAGAAAAAAAGGGUGCAGAGCUCUUCUACCCUUAGAUAAUAUGUGUUGGGAAGAAUUAACCAGUUCUGCAGUUUGGUCAAGGUUCAGCAGGGACAGUUUGUCUCUGUUCCACAUAGUAUCAGCUGAGGCAGCUCAACUGAGGAUGGAGGAUGCACUUUCAAGAUUGUUUCCUUGCAAGACUGGCAAGCUUGUAUUGUCAGCUGGACCUCAACUAGGACUGUUGGCCAGGGACCUCUCUCCUCCUCCACAUAGAUCCAUCUAUGUGGCUGUUUGGGUUUUCUGACAAGAUGGCCACAAGUUCCCAAGAGCAAAUAUUCCAAGAAAACAAGCCUCAAUAUGAAAUCACUUAUCAGGCCUCUCCUUGCAUCAUACUUGCCAAAUGUCCCAUUGGCCAAAGAUGGCUCCAUGAUCAAGCCCAGAGUCCAUGUGGGAGGGGACUACACAAGGGUAAGAACUCCAACAGCUGUGGUUCAUUGGGGGUCACCAAACUAAGAGUUUACCACAGAGUGUGGUAACUUUCGUCUCUCCCCAUUAGUAGAGAAAAAUUGAAAAUUGGUAUUAUUUGCCCACUCCCCCAAUUUUUUAAGUCAGAAACUUAAUACCAAUGUUUCCUAAUUUUUAAGUUGGCUUAAGAAAAUUGGAGCCAGGUGUGGUGGCUCACGCCUGUAAUCCCAGCACUUUGGGAGGACGAGGCAGGCGGAUCACGAGGUCAGGAGAUCGAGACCACCCUGGCUAACACAGUGAGACCCCGUCUCUACUAAAAAUACAAAAAAAAUUAGCCGGGCGUGGUGGCGGGCGCCUGUAGU
rnacentral:lncRNA from 10 species